AGCCUCCUGGUGCUAAACAGAGUCUGUGUUCUUUACACCGACUAUAGGAAGAGGAAGGACAGUAAUUCCACCCCAUUAUACACCUCAGCCAGGACCUUUGCCUGAUCUACAUUGUUAAUGGAGAUAUAGGG
rnacentral:snoRNA from 1 species